rnacentral:rRNA from 1 species
GGAGAAAAGCAGGGGAUCGCAAGACCUUGCGCUAAAGGAGCGGCUGAUGUCUGAUUAGCUAGUUGGUGAGGUAAAGGCUCACCAAGGCAACGAUCAGUAGUUGGUCUGAGAGGACGGUCAACCACACUGGGACUGAGACACGGCCCAGACUCCUACGGGAGGCAGCAGUGGGGAAUUUUGGACAAUGGGCGAAAGCCUGAUCCAGCCAUGCCGCGUGAGUGAAGAAGGCCUUCGGGUUGUAAAGCUCUUUUAGUCGGAAAGAAAAGAUCAUAAUGAACAAUUAUGAUUCAUGACGGUACCGACAGAAAAAGCACCGGCUAACUACGUGCCAGCAGCCGCGGUAAUACGUAGGGUGCGAGCGUUAAUCGGAAUUACUGGGCGUAAAGGGUGCGCAGGCGGUUUUGUAAGUCAGAUGUGAAAGCCCCGGGCUUAACCUGGGAAUUGCGUUUGAAACUACAAGGCUAG